UUUUAAUUUUAAUUAUUUUCUAAUUUUUCAUUGUCCGUACUUGAUUACUUAAGAGUAACAUUAUUUUAAAAGCAUGCAGUCCAAAAGUUCAGACAUCUGAGAAAUACAACAAGCAAAUUAACCUUCUAUUUUUGCAUCUGCAGAAAAUGUCUCAAGAACCAGACGUAAAUAAGGAUUGCAAUAGAGAGGCUGAAGAAGAAAUGCAGAGGCAUGGAAGUAAUAACGUGGGAAUAUCAGUAAACCUGACUGAUGGUGCUGCUGCUGGCAAUGGUGAUGAUGGAUUAAUUCCACAAAGAAAGAGCAGAAAACCUGAAAAUCAGCAAUUUCCUAGCACAGAGAAUGAAGAAUAUCAUAGGCCUGAAAAGAAAUUUAAUGAAAAGAACAAGGUCAAAAGUGAAAUACAUUCAGUGGAUGACCUGGAUGACAUAACGUGGCCAUCUGAAAUAGCCUCAGAGGAUUAUGAUUUGCUUUACCCUAAUUAUGAGACUUUUAUGUUGCUCGCUGAACAACACAAAAUGGAUUUUAACGGUUCUACUAGCCUAUCAAAAAUCCAGGAUGCAGUUCUUUCAGAUGAAUAUUUAUUAGAACUUAAAAAUAAUCACCGUGAACAACUUACAGUAGAAAUUGAAAAAAUGGAAAAUAUGAUUCAUGUACUACAAAAGAAGCUGUCUGAAGCAAAAGAAACACAAUUACAGUUAGAGCAUGAAAAAGAUGAAUGGGAGCAAGAACUCUCUGCUUUGAGAAUACAAAUGAGUGGAAGCUAUCUUCUCCUCCCUGCAAAAUAAAGCAGUCACAGAGACUAUGAAGAUCUUCAAGUGAAAAGCCUGUUACCUCACUCCCUACCUGAAUGCUGGCCAAGAUGUAGAAACUUGGUGAGUCAGCCCCAUGCUGCUAGAGCUGAGAGAGAGAAGAUUCUUGAAGGAAUGUGCCACAUGUUAACCAGAGGAGAUAAUUGUAUGAGUAUUACCUUAAGAAUUCUGACAACAGGGCUUUGGUGGGACUUAUCCACUAGCAAGGCAAGGAGUAAGGGGCACAGAAUUUUAUGUGGAAGGUAAUGAGGGGGUCACAUGGAUCAAGUAGAUAUUUCGGAGAAGACCUAGGCUUGAAUGAACUGGACAGUUUCCUCUCCACAGGACAAAAAAACCUCAAAAAGGAGGCUAUGUGGACUGAGUCACAGAAGGAGCCUUAUAAGAAGUCAGCCAGACAGUGGCGAUGUCAGCAAGAUGGCAGAAUAGAAGGUUCUUACCCUGGUUUUCUCACUGAAACACCAAUUUAACAAUAUCUAUGAAAGAGAGCACCUUUGUAAGAGUUCCAGAACCCAGGGAUUGAGCACCCCAGUAAUGCACAAAAGCCCAGGAAAACUACAUUAAAAAGCAUAAUUUAAAAAUUUCUGUUUUAUCCAUAUCUCUGGUGCCAAGAAAGAUAUCCUCACUCUGAUUUCUCCAGUGAGCUAAAGAAAGACCAAGGUGGGUGUUCAACUCACCCAGCAUUUGGGGCCCUUCCCAAGAGGCCCACUUCUGUCUCACCUCAAACAGAACACGGAGGAAAUGAGCAUGGCUAGGCCACCUGGGAACAGCUAGGAACAAAGAAAGAUGGUGGUGUCUUUCAGUGGCCAGGGUGCAUGGAUCUUGGCAGUAGUCCACAGCCAGAGUCAUCAACCUGGCCUGACUGAAGCCCCUCUCUCUGGCCUCACCUGUUCAUGAACCAAGCCAGCUGGCCCACACUACUGCAAAGCAGAAGCAGCAAGCUGCUUCUGACCACAGACUCUGGAGACACUGACAGAAGGCGUAUCCAUUCACAGAUGCAACCAUCUGGCUUGCCAACAUCUCAGGAGAGGCUGACUGGUGAAGGGUUUUCCACUGGAAAAGCCAGCUUGUAAAGACUAGAAGGAGGUGGCUCCUCCUUCAAAUGAACCACCAAUGUAAGAAUACAAAGAUUACAAACUACAAAAGAAAACUAACAGAGCUCCAAAAACUGACCCUAAAUAAACAGACAUUUAUAAACCACUUGAGAUAUAACUGAAAACAGUCAUCUUAGAUAAGUUCAGUGAACUACUAGAGAACAUAGAUAAGCUCAGUGUACUACUAGAGAAUAGAUAAAUAAGGAAACUAUAUGAAUAAGAAAAGUCCACAAGGGGAGGCAGAGCAAGAUGGUGAAAUGGAAUGCUCCACUGGCUGUCCUUCUGCAAGGACACCAAUUUUAAAACUACAUGAAAAAAUACCGUAGCCAGAAAUUAGGUGAGCACUCAUAGUACCUGGUUUUACUUUAUAUCACUGAAAGAGGCACCGAAGAGACAGAUAAAAAACAGUCCUGAGUUAUUAACAUCACUCCUCUCUUGCCCCCAGCAGCAGCAUCAUGGUGUGGAGAUUGUCUCUGAGCACUAGGGGAGGGAGAACACAGCAAUUGUUAGGCAUUGAACUCAGUGCUUUUCUGUUAGAAUAGAUAGGAAAACCAGACCAGACUCAGCUGAUGCCUGCCCACAGAGGGAGCAUUUAAACCAGCCCUAGCCAGAGGGCAUUUGCUGAUCUCAGUGGUCAGAACUUGUGUUCUCGCAAACCUCACUACUGAGGGCUACAACACUCUGUCUCUCAGUAAACUUGAAAGGCAGUCUAGACCAUAAGGACUACAAUGCCUAGGCAAGAACUGGGCCCAGAGACAGUGGACUACAGUGGACUGGUUGGGGGCAGGGUGGGGAAACAUGACCUACUGAGACACAAGGGAGCACUGACGUCACUCUGAUACAGGAACUGAAAAGAUAUUAUUUAGGCAGAUAGGGUAAAAGUCCUCAGUAAGGUUUUCCUUUCAAUAAAAAGCAACCCCCAAAUCAUUUUUUUUUUUUUUUUUAAAAAUGCAGCCUGAAAAAUCAAGCUGCACACAUAGACAACUUGCAUAGAUAAAUGCUGGCAGCUGUGCCAGUAGAAAGGGAUACUUGGAAGUCAGGUAUAGUCAACAUGGAAGUUCCCUUUUUCUGUUUUUUUGUCACCACAUGUGCAGUAAAAAGCAGGCAACAUGGUGCCAGCCUGUUAGAGACCGAAUUUGCAUAAUAAAAGAUCAGGGUGGGGUGGUCAGCCUCUUUGUGCACUAUGUAAAUGGCACACCUGGUUUAACCAAUCCUCUGUGCCCUUUGUAAAUCAGACACCACUUCCUCAAGCUCAUCUAUAAACGACUGCAUCUCACUGUGAACCCAAAAACCAUUUGGGACCUCUUUGCACAAGAAAGCUCUCUUCUUUCUUUUGCCUAUCAAACUUCUGCUAUUAAACCCACUCCUUGUGUGUGUGUCUGUGUCCUUGAUUUCCUUAGCAUGAGGCAAUGAACCUUGGGUACUACCCCAGAUAAAUGACACAGCUUCAUUGUGGGGGAUUGUCUGGGAUUAUCAAAAGGGUGAGUAUAUAGGAGUGGACCUCAACUCUGUCCUUUCAUUUCAGGGCUCUCCGCCUCCAUUUUAUUUAUUUAUUUUUAUUUAUUUUUGAGACAGAAUCUCACUAUAUCACUCAGGUUGGAGUGCAGUGUCAUGAUCUUGGUUCACUGCAACAUCCAUCUCCCAGGUUCAAGUGAUUCUCGUUGCUCAGCCUCCUAUGUAGCUAGAAUUACAGAUAUGUGCCACCACACCCGGCUAAUUUUUGUAUUCUUUAGUAAAGAUGAGGUUUUACCAUACUGGUCAGGCUGGCCUCGAACCCCUGGCCUUAAGAGAGCUGCCCACCUCAGUCUCCCAUAGUGCUGGAAUUAUGUGUGAGCCACCACACCUGGCCCUUGGCCUCCAUUUUAAAAUCAAAUCAGACCAUAUAUUGUGUGUCUGAUGGCCAUCUGGAUGCCUCUAGGGUGAGCUGUGGUUCUCAAGUCUUAUGACAGGCUUUUUGGAGAGAACAUGGUGAAUACCCCAGUGCCCUCAGAUUGCUGGACAUGUUGGCUAUGUUUCAAACUGGUUUCCCUUCAUGGAAGACCUAGCCAUCUCAUGGGGCUAGAAGAGGUCCUGGAGCAACUGAGGAUUUCUGGCCAGGGCUACACCCUGUUGUUAUUCAAAGGCUUCUGGACUGACUCAGCCUCCAACUGCCCAAUCAGAUUGGCAACAGGAUCUCCAGUUUUUUUUAAUUGCAAAUGUUCUCCUUUGCUGUCCAUGACCAUCAUGUCUUCUAUCCUCUCUCUCUCUCUCUCUCUACGCGAUGCUUGUGAAGGCAGCAGCUUUCUCCUCAAACCCAAAGGAUGGGAAGCUUUCCAGGAGAGGCCUGGCAGAUAGACUUCACCCACAUGUCAAAGGUGAAGGGCAUUCAACACCACCUGGCAUGGGUAGAUACUUUCACACUUUCACUAACUGCAUAAAAACCUCUCCAUCCCAUACAGAAAACACCUCUGAGGUAAUAAAGCUGUUUUUCUGUUUUGUUGUUGUUGUUGUUGUUUUGUUUGUUUGUUUUUUAAGAUGUAGUUUCACUCUCAUUGCCGAGGCUGGAGUGCAAUUGUGCGAUCUCGACUCACCGCAUCCUCCACCUGCCAGUUUCAAGCGAUUCUUCCUCAGCCUCCCAAAUAGCUGGGAUUACAGGUAUGUGCCACCAUGUCCG
rnacentral:lncRNA from 1 species